GCGAGUUAGUUCGACACGGCCCGGCGUAAGGAUGGUGGCGCUGAUGAUCGCAGUGUGACGUCAUAGGAACGUGACCUCAGAAAUUGUUGCUUGCACGAAUUAAAAGCAACUCGUGUGCUUUUCUUACGCAGAGAUCAACACGACCUUGGACGGAAAGAGCCCGGGCUGUACGCAUGACGGCCGACCGGCCGGCGGACCGGGCAGGAGCAGCCUUUUCGGUCUGUCAACAAACACGCUGCUCCCGCUGGCUAGCGCUGCUGUUGAUGCUCCCGUUUCCAGGCUAUAUGGACGCGCUCGUUCGAGAAGCCCGGUUUUUUCGGCGACGAGCUGGGCUUCGGCGGAAACAAAGUGGCCGAGAAAGAAGAAAGGGCCACAGGGGAACCCGAGAGAACGAACGGAGUAAAAGUACACACACGCCGAGUCUCGUAAACGGUGUACUAUACACUCCCCGCGGAGAAGAGAGAGUGAACCGAGGUUGACAGACGCCCGAGGGCAACGCGGAA